rnacentral:rRNA from 1 species
AGAGUUUGAUCAUGGCUCAGGAUGAACGCUAGCUACAGGCUUAACACAUGCAAGUCGAGGGGCAGCAUGGGAUUAGCUUGCUAAUCCUGAUGGCGACCGGCGCACGGGUGAGUAACGCGUAUCCAACCUUCCCUAUAGUAGAGGAUAGCCCGGCGAAAGUCGGAUUAAUACUCUAUGUUAUUCGACGAGGACAUCUGAAAUGAAUCAAAGGUUUACCGCUAUAGGAUGGGGAUGCGUCUGAUUAGGUUGUUGGCGGGGUAACGGCCCACCAAGCCGUCGAUCAGUAGGGGUUCUGAGAGGAAGGUCCCCCACAUUGGAACUGAGACACGGUCCAAACUCCUACGGGAGGCAGCAGUGAGAAAUAUUGGUCAAUGGGCGAGAGCCUGAACCAGACAAGUAGCGUGCAGGAUGACGGCCCUAUGGGUUGUAAACUGCUUUUAUCGGGGGAUAAAGUGCGGGACGUGUCCCGUUUUGUAGGUACCCGAUGAAUAAGGACCGGCUAAUUCCGUGCCAGCAGCCGCGGUAAUACGGAAGGUCCGGGCGUUAUCCGGAUUUAUUGGGUUUAAAGGGAGCGCAGGCCGGAGGUCAAGCGUGACGUGAAAUGUAGCCGCUCAACGGCUGAACUGCGUCGCGAACUGGCUUUCUUGAGUGAGUUCGAUGUGGGCGGAAUUCGUGGUGUAGCGGUGAAAUGCUUAGAUAUCACGAAGAACUCCGAUUGCGAAGGCAGCCCACAAGGCCUUUACUGACGCUAAAGCUCGAAGGUGCGGGUAUCGAACAGGAUUAGAUACCCUGGUAGUCCGCACGGUAAACGAUGGAUGCCCGCUGUUUGCGAUAUACUGUGAGCGGCCAAGAGAAAUCGUUAAGCAUCCCACCUGGGGAGUACGCCGGCAACGGUGAAACUCAAAGGAAUUGACGGGGGCCCGCACAAGCGGAGGAACAUGUGGUUUAAUUCGAUGAUACGCGAGGAACCUUACCUGGACUCAAAUGUUGAGUGACCGUUCCGGAGACGGGACUUCCCUUCGGGGCGCUCAGCAAGGUGCUGCAUGGUUGUCGUCAGCUCGUGCCGUGAGGUGUCAGGUUAAGUCCUAUAACGAGCGCAACCCCUACGUCCAGUUGCCAGCGGGUGAUGCCGGGGACUCUGGAGGGACUGCCGGCGCAAGCCGAGAGGAAGGUGGGGAUGACGUCAAAUCAGCACGGCCCUUACGUCCAGGGCGACACACGUGCUACAAUGGCCGGUACAGAGGGCAGCCACCUGGCGACAGGGAGCGAAUCUCGAAAGCCGGUCUCAGUUCGGAUCGGAGUCUGCAACUCGACUCCGUGAAGUUGGAUUCGCUAGUAAUCGCGCAUCAGCCAUGGCGCGGUGAAUACGUUCCCGGGCCUUGUACACACCGCCCGUCAAGCCAUGAAAGUCCGGGGUACCUGAAGUCCGUGACCGCGAGGAGCGGCCUAGGGUAAAACGGGUGAUUGGGGCUAAGUCGUAACAAGGUAACCGUA